UGUUUUCUGUUCGUUCGUUUUAUGCUGCGGCAAAAUGUGGACUGCUGCUCACUGCUCCUGGCAAUAGAACAAAGUUCAGAUGGAGAAAAGUAGCCUUCUCCAUGGUUUAGUCGGACGCCAGAAUUAGCAGCUGUGGAGACCAAGUUAGAAGAAGUUAGUUGAGUGGUUACAGUGACACAUAUUUCCUCCGCCCUAAAAAUAAUCUACGUUCCCGGGCAACCUGGAGCAAGGUGCUGCUCUGCCUUCGGUCAUCACCGUUCAGCACAACGACCGACCGACCGACAGGACUCAGGAGUGACGGGACUGGGGCAAUCAAACGCGCGUCAUUUGGAUGGUUAGGUCUCAUUUCAUUGCCCUAAAAAAAAGGGGGCUGGUUUGGUUUUCACGGUAGCGGAAGAAACUGGCGGCAGAAGUCUCCGACCGGUUGUUGUUGCUUGCUACGUUUGGUUUGGUAGCACUAAGCUUGCUGCACCUCGUACGUCUCCCGUGAUCUCCUCCGCUGGACUCCACAAGAUUCAGUAAACCGAGGGGUGAGCGCUCAUUGGUUGGACUGGCAUGGGAAAUCGAAGUGACAUGUGUAGAUAAAAGUGGUGUGUUCAGACUCACAGAAAUCGGGGUUCAGAACCAGGACUUCCUUUCCUGCGAUUUCCCCUUUUCAGAACUAGUUUAGGCAACCGGCAGCGAACACGCUCCCGUUCCUAAAGAUUUGCAAAUGUCAGUUCCGAUCGACUC
rnacentral:lncRNA from 7 species